rnacentral:rRNA from 1 species
GUCCCAGUUCGGACUGUAGUCUGCAACCCGACUACACGAAGCUGGAAUCGCUAGUAAUCGCGAAUCAGAAUGUCGCGGUGAAUACGUUCCCGGGUCUUGUACACACCGCCCGUCACACCAUGGGAGUCGGGAAUGCCCGAAGUCAGUGACCCAACCUAUAGGAGGGAGCUGCCGAAGGCAGGUCUGAUAACUGGGGUGAAGUCGUAACAAGGUAAC